UGUCACUGAUGUCAAGGGCAAAAAAAACAAAGACGUAAGAAGAUGAAGUCUCACUGGAUUCCGACGAUUCUUGUUGCAUUUGGCACCAUGACUGGGCCUUGGAUGCUGUUUCUGCCUGCUGCUGAGGUCCAAUACGUCCAAUUUGGGUCAACUGUCACUCUAAAUUGUAACAUCUCCUAUCUUUACGACACAACGUGGCUCAAGAACAACCCAGACCUCACGCCCACUGAGGUCCUCACCGCCAGCCUCAAACAGGGACAACCAGCUCUAAUUUUUCAGAUUGACCCUCGUUUUUCAGUGCGCUUGAUGAACCGGUCUCUGGCAUUAGUGAUCCCUGAUAUUGAGGAGAAAGACCUGGGUCUGUACUACUGUAUUGCCAAUGUGAAUCAGCGUUUAUUAGUUGGGACAGGCACCAAGAUACAGGUUACAGAUCCAGAUUUCCCCUGGUUUCACGUCCACCACUGGUACUGCGUGGCUGUGAGUUUUGUGUUUCUGAUCUUGGUGCUGGCUAUUUGCAUCACUCACUGGAAGGUUAAGGCGAGGAGAAGCUCCAACACGACCUACUGCUAACACCACCCUCGAGACUGCCUUUGGUGACACGCGAACAACAUCUCCAACAGGAGGAUAUGAAACCAGACUUGUUUUUCUGUGCUUUGCUUCUGUGGAGUGGAUGUUUUUAUGUCCCCAAUUUACUGUCUAAUUUUAUUUAUUGCAUUCUUCUGCACUUGUAUCAGUAUUUCAUGAGAUGCUGAAGGAAAGCUCAUGUACAGAGAUGAAUAUAAUAUCUCUUGAGGCCGCGGGCACUUCAGACUAGUGGAAGUUAUUUUAUUCAAAUGUCUCUCUCACAUAGUUCGUCUUCAUCUGCGUCACUCACUACUGUCUUGAUUUGUUUUUCACCUCAUCCUGUUUCCUUUUCUUUCUUUGUCACUCCCAGGGGGAUCACUUCUUUUUAUUUUGAAUCGCUGUCAUAUUAAACUGCUUCAAAGAGUCCUGCACGUAGUUAAAACCAGGAUAAUUGUGACACUAUAAAUUAGCCUUAAUUUGACUAGAAAUAUUUUGGCGACAAUGUAUUUCGCCAGUAUCUUGAUUAAAAAAUGCAUCGGAAUUUAUUUUGCUUAUUGAAACCAUACCGCUAAGACCCGGGGCGGCACUUUACAUAGGCGAAAUAGGCGGUCGCCUAGAGCGCCAUCUGCUGGAGAGGCGCUACCGGGGACCCUUCUCAUCGAGGGAAAAAAUGAAAAUAAAAACAUUUAAAAAAAAAAAGAAUAAUAAUUUUCUAUGCCUAGUCGCCCUCCUUAAUGUGUUCUCUCUUGAUAUUUAUAAAGAUAUUUAUAAAUAUUAACAAAUAAAUAAACAAUGAUGUUCCUAAAAUGCGGUGCUGCUAAGUCACAUGACGGGUGCGCGCCUCAUGGUCAGAGGGAUCAGAGCUCAGGUCACGGGCAGGUGAUGGUUUUG